AUUUUACGCUUGUGGUUUUCUACUCACAUGUUUGUCGAUUGUUUGCUAAAAGAAAUUCCAUUUUAUUUUAAUAUUGCCAGCUAUUUUUAGUCAGAUUUUUGGCUUAGUUUUAUUGUGAAAGUGUAGCAUCACGAUGUUUGUGGUAGACGAGAUUCAACAGCAAAUAACUGCACGUCAUUCGGACCAUGACGCGAAGCGAGCGGAACGCGCCGAGGAAUACGAGUAUACAAAUAUACUGCGUAUAGAUUUGCAGAUUUGAUAGACAUGCCCCUUGAUAUGCAGGCAUGCGGCAAACUACACAACAAAACGGCGGCAAAUUGAAUUUUGUGUACAAGAAUUGAAUAUUUAAAGAAUCUAAAAGAUAUCAACACAAUUUAACUCAAUAAGAUGAGCAUUGUUUCUCAUUGUUUACUUUCAGCCGCACAUAUCACAAUGCAAAAUUACAAACUUAAGUUGAUUACUAACAAUUUUUGUGGGUAUAUGAAAUGCCAAGGAACGACGUUUUAACCCAUAGAUAUUAUAUUUAGCUAUGUAUAUUAUAAGUGCAUGAGAACUUGUAAAAUCAUGUAACUUGUAUCAAUAUCGCACUUCUAUAUUAUAAAUCAGUUUGAAAAGAAUUGAAAUGAUAACAACAUGAAA